rnacentral:tRNA from 1 species
GCCCCCGUAGCUCAAUUGGUAGAGCAAUUCCCUUUUAAGGAAGUGGUUGGAGGUUCGAGUCCUCCCGGGGGCACCA